GUCCGGGUGGCGGAAUAGGUAGACGCGCUAGCUUGAGGUGCUAGUGGCCGUAAAGGCUGUGGAGGUUCAAGUCCUCUCUCGGACA
rnacentral:tRNA from 1 species